UUCGCGAUUCAGCGUGAUUCAACUCGGACGGUUCACUCAAUCUUUUUGAAGCGGUUUGUCAGUCGGCAAACGUGAUAGGGAACUUCAAGAAGGAUAAAAACGCAUAUUGAACUUCUAUACAGUCUGCUUGAAAGCAAACCUGCAAGUUCUUGUUGUUUUUCCAGCGAUGAAGAUUCAUUAUGACCAACACGCGCACGUGCGUCCCGAGAACCCCUCUACUGCAGGUUUCGGCAAUAAAUAAUCUUAAAUGCUUCAACCCAAACAGAAGAACAGAAUGGCCUGCAGUGACAACGCAAUGAAGAGGUAAUACUAGACAGGACAGAUGAGGUCAACAUGUGUUGGUUCAUCAGCAGCAUAACAUUACAGUGUGCCAGAACACUGACACCACACGGAUAAAGGGAGAGAGAGAGAGAGACAGACCUAAAUUAUCAGCCUUUCACGAAAAGAUACUGAACAGACUCUGUCGGUGAGGAGAGGGCCGCGUAAGGAG